UACGAAGGGGGGCUAGCGUUGCUCGGAAUCACUGGGCGUAAAGCGCACGUAGGCGGAUUGUUAAGUCAGGGGUGAAAUCCUGGAGCUCAACUCCAGAACUGCCUUUGAUACUGGCGAUCUUGAGUCCGGGAGAGGUGAGUGGAACUCCGAGUGUAGAGGUGAAAUUCGUAGAUAUUCGGAAGAACACCAGUGGCGAAGGCGGCUCACUGGCCCGGUACUGACGCUGAUGUGCGAAAAGCGUGGGGGAGCAAACAGGGAU
rnacentral:rRNA from 1 species